UAUCUCUGUAGAGUCUGCAUAUCAAUAAGCGGAGGAAAAGAAACUAACAAGGAUUCCCUUAGUAACGGCGAGUGAAGCGGGAAGAGCUCAAAUUUGAAAUCUUCAAGGUUUUACCUUGACGAAUUGUAGUUUAAAGAAGUGUUUUCUGUUGAAGUUUCGGUAAAAGUUCUUUGGAAUAGGACAUCAUAGAGGGUGAGAAUCCCGUAUUUGACCGUUAUUUUCAGCUGUGUGAUACACUUUCAAAGAGUCGGAUUGUUUGGGAAUGCAGUCCAAAAUGGGUGGUAAAUUUCAUCUAAAGCUAAAUAUUGGCGAGAGACCGACUAGCGAACAAGUACCGUGAGGGAAAGAUGAAAAGAACUUUGAAAAGAGAGUUAAACAGUACGUGAAAUUGUCAAAAGGGAAGCGUUUGACACCAGUGUUGUUUUCUCGAAAAUCAAUUAAAAAUGGCUUGAUUUUGUGUUGUAUUGACCUUAAAAGCUUUCUUCACUUUUUUCAUGUCUUUUUUAAUGCACUUUUCGUUUCAACAAGUCAACAUCAGUUUCUUUUGUUGUAAAAAGGUCAUUGGAAGGUGGCUUUCUUUUCGGAGAAAGUGUUUAUAGCCUUUGACUUCUGCAAUCGGAGAGACUGAGGUCUGCAGCGUAGAUCCUUCUGGAUUAGAUUCAUUUGUGCUAAGUUACAACCGUUUAUAGACAACUUGUUGACUAUAUUCGAUCCUGUAGCUUACUCGCUUAUGUAAUUUUACCUACGCUUAGGAUGUUGAUCUGUAGUGCGUGCGC
rnacentral:rRNA from 1 species